rnacentral:rRNA from 1 species
UACGAAGGGGGCUAGCGUUGCUCGGAAUGACUGGGCGUAAAGGGCGCGUAGGCGGUUUGCAUAGUCAGACGUGAAAUUCCUGGGCUCAACCUGGGGACUGCGCUUGAGACGUGUGGGCUUGAGUGGGGAAGAGGGUCGUGGAAUUCCCAGUGUAGAGGUGAAAUUCGUAGAUAUUGGGAAGAACACCGGUGGCGAAGGCGGCGACCUGGUCCUUGACUGACGCUGAGGCGCGAAAGCGUGGGGAGCAAACAGG